AAUGGUCCCCCAGGGAGGUCUGCAUUCUAAUCCCCAGAACCUGAGGAUUAGGGGACUAGGAUGCAGACCUCCCUAGGUACCAUU
rnacentral:miRNA from 1 species